CCCAGUCAGCGGGGCUACCCGCUGAAUUU
rnacentral:rRNA from 3 species